rnacentral:rRNA from 1 species
UUUAAUGAGAGUUUGAUCCUGGCUCAGGACGAACGCUGGCGGCGUGCCUAAUACAUGCAAGUAGAACGCUGAUGUUUGGUGUUUACACUAGACUGAUGAGUUGCGAACGGGUGAGUAACGCGUAGGUAACCUGCCUCAUAGCGGGGGAUAACUAUUGGAAACGAUAGCUAAUACCGCAUAAGAGUAUUAACACAUGUUAGUUAUUUAAAAGGAGCAAUUGCUUCACUGUGAGAUGGACCUGCGUUGUAUUAGCUAGUUGGUGAGGUAAAGGCUCACCAAGGCGACGAUACAUAGCCGACCUGAGAGGGUGAUCGGCCACACUGGGACUGAGACACGGCCCAGACUCCUACGGGAGGCAGCAGUAGGGAAUCUU